rnacentral:rRNA from 1 species
UACGUAGGUGGCAAGCGUUGUCCGGAUUUAUUGGGUUUAAAGGGUGCGUAGGUGGUUUAAUAAGUCAGUGGUGAAAGCUGGUUGCUCAACAAUCAAGUUGCCAUUGAUACUGUUAGACUUGAGAGAAGUGGCGGUUCAUGGAAUGGAUGGUGUAGCGGUGAAAUGCAUAGAUAUCAUCCAGAACGUCGAUUGCGAAGGCAGUGGGCUGUACUUUUUCUGACACUGAGGCACGAAAGCGUGGGGAUCAAACAGG